GAUGAAGAACGUAGCGAAAUGCGAUAAGUAGUGUGAAUUGCAGAAUUCAGUGAAUCAUCGAAUCUUUGAACGCACAUUGCGCCCCUUGGUAUUCCAUGGGGCAUGCCUGUUCGAGCGUCAUUUGUACCUUCAAGCUUUGCUUGGUUUUGGGUGUUUGUCUCGCCUUUGCGUGUAGACUCGCCUUAAAAUAAUUGGCAGCCGGCGUAUUGAUUUCGGAGCGCAGUACAUCUCGCGCUUUGCACUCAUAACGACAGCGUCCAAAAGUACAUUUUACACUCUUGACCUCGGAUCAGGUAGGGAUACCCGCUGAACUUAAGCAUAUCAAUAAGCGGAGGA
rnacentral:misc_RNA from 1 species